UUUGGAAAAAAGUUGACCCUGGCUCAGGCCGAACCCGGGGGGGGUGCCUAAAACAUGCAAGUCGAGCGGACAGAAGGGACCUUGCUCCCGAAUUUUAGCGGCGGCGGGGUAAGUAACACGUGGGUACCCGCCCUGUAAGACUGGAAUACCCCCGGGAACCCGGGGCUAAUCCGGAAUAUUUCUUUGACCCGCAUGGUUCAAGAUUAAAAGACGGUUUCGGCUCCCCUUAACAAAUGGACCCCCGGCCCUUUACCUAGUUGGUGGGGUAAUGCCUCACCAAGCCGCCAAGCCGUAGCCGCCCUAAAAGGGUGAUCGGCCCCCCUGGGCUUAAACCCCGGCCCAGACCCCACCGGAAGCCACCAGUAGGGAUUCUCCCCCAAUGACCGAAAUUCGACCGAACCACCCCCGCUUAAGUAAUAAAGUUUUCCGAUUCGUAAAGUUCUGUUUUAGGGAAGACCAAUACCAUAGAAUCUGCUGGCACCUGACGGACCAAACC
rnacentral:rRNA from 1 species